rnacentral:rRNA from 1 species
AACGAACGCUGGCGGUAUGCUUAACACAUGCAAGUCGAACGAGUAUGGCCUAGCUUGCUAGGACCCAGCUAGUGGCAAACGGGUGAGUAACGCGUGGGAAUCUACCUAAUAGUACGGAAUAGCCAUUGGAAACGAUGAUUAAUACCGUAUACGCCCCGAGGGGGAAAGCUUUAGCGCUAUUAGAUGGGCCCGCGUUGGAUUAGCUUGUUGGUGAGGUAAUGGCUCACCAAGGCAACGACCUAUAGCUGGUUUGAGAGGAUGAUCAGCCACACUGGAACUGAGACACGGUCCAG